rnacentral:rRNA from 1 species
AUUGCCUUAGUAACUGCGAGUGAAGCGGCAAAAGCUCAAAUUUGAAAUCUGGCGUCUUCGGCGUCCGAGUUGUAAUUUGGAGGGGCAUCUUCGGAGUUGGCGCCGUCCUAAGUUCCUUGGAACAGGACGUCAUAGAGGGUGAGAAUCCCGUGCCUGGAUGGCUGUCCAUCUCCAUGUGAAGUGUCUCCGACGAGUCGAGUUGUUUGGGAAUGCAGCUCAAAAUGGGUGGUAAAUUUCAUCUAAAGCUAAAUAUUGGCGAGAGACCGAUAGCGCACAAGUAGAGUGAUCGAAAGAUGAAAAGCACUUUGAAAAGAGAGUUAAAAAGUACGUGAAAUUGUUGAAAGGGAAGCGCUUGAGACCAGACUCAAUCUUUGGUGAUCAGCUGUGCUUCUGUACAGUGCACUUGCCUUUGAUUGGGCCAGCAUCGGUUCUGACGGUGGGAUAAAAGGCGGAGGAAUGUGGCUCUCUUCGGGGAGUGUUAUAGCCUCUGUCAUAAUGCCGCCAGUUGGGACCGAGGACCGCGCUUCGGCUAGGAUGCUGGCGUAAUGGUCUUAAGCGACCCGUCUUGAAACACGGACCAAGGAGUCUAACAUCUAUGCGAGUGUUCGGGUGGAAAACCCUUGCGCGUAAUGAAAGUGAACGGAGGUGUGAACCCCUCGGGGUGCAACAUCGACCGAUCCUGAUGUCUUCGGAAGGAUUUGAGUAAGAGCAUAGCUGUUGGGACCCGAAAGAUGGUGAACUAUGCCUGAAUAGGGUGAAGCCAGAGGAAACUCUGGUGGAGGCUCGCAGCGGUUCUGACGUGCAAAUCGAUCGUCAAAUUUGGGUAUAGGGGCGAAAGACUAAU